rnacentral:lncRNA from 1 species
UACAGAUACAGUCAUGGACGCAGCGCUUCUUCUACCCAGAAUGCUGCAGUGAGAGGAAGUUGUGUCUGCUUACGCUGAAGCUCAGGGCAGUCCACUGACUCGAUCAGUAUAACAGCGCAGGCAGAGGACGAGGAGUGCAGACGGGAGAGAGCAGACGGCGGGGACGGGCGAAGAUGGCGAUGCGGCGCGCUCCGACUGAGAAGAGCUCAUUAAAACGAAGAAGAUUAAGGAAGAGAAUGGCGUCGACCCGUUCAGACGAAAGAGCAGUUCUCGACGGUGGGAACAUGGAAUCGGAACAACUAGAUGAAAGAUGAUGGCGUUUCGUUCAGUCUCAUAUCAUGUAAAUGAUCCUGAUCUGCCAAACGUCAAAGAAAGAUGAGGAAAAGGAUUUUCGCUGUGAUGUUUGCCUGAAGAGGAAGCUUCAGCAAAGUUUCAAGGAAGGGAAGACUACUCUAACCAAUUCUGGACAGUCAAGUGGAGACUACUGCUUAAUGAGGAAGAUGGCGGCUCAUGUUUUGCUUUUGGAUUUGGAAAGACAUUUGAUUUGCUAUGAUAUUUUAAUUCAUUCGCUAAUGUGCUCAACAAUUGUAUGUAUUUUCUCAUUUUACUGCAUUGUUGUUUUGAUGAAAUGCCUGUAUUUAACAUUUUUAAAUGCUUGCUUGCCUUUAAAAGAAAAAUAAAAAAAAUUGUGAUUGAACAAUUUCGAGUUGCUCUUAUUGGAUGGAGAAUAAGAAUGACGUUUCGCAAAUUAUUU